CAGGGUCCAGGAUGUCUCGGAGCAGCUGCAGAGCGUUUUCAAGGGGGAGAGUGAGCAGCCAGAAGUUAUUGUGCACGUUGGCACAAAUGACAAAGAGUACGAUCGAAAACAAUGAAAAGAGAAGAAUCUGUUCCAGUUCAUUCACCAAGACCACUGCCUUGGAAUCCUGCCAGUUUACGAAAGUUGCAGCUGUACUUUCCCACUCCCCUUGCAGUCUGACCCUGUAUUUCCGUGCUGGUGCAUGUCACAGAAACUUGGACAAUAGACUACCGCUUGUCACAAUAUUUGACCUUGGACAAUCUAGAGACUGGUGGAAAUCGUCAAGUUAAGUCUAGCUACGCUGAAUAAGCAAACCUAAAAAAUACUCCAUAAUUCCGUAAUGGAGCAACUUAAUAUACUUAUUUUAUACUCUGCCAAUUUCUGCUGAUUUCUAAAUGCUAUAUAAAUGCAAUUUUUCAAGA